GCUCAGAUUGAACGCUGGCGGCAGGCCUAACACAUGCAAGUCGAGCGGUAACAUUUCUAGCUUGCUAGAAGAUGACGAGCGGCGGACGGGUGAGUAAUGCUUGGGAACAUGCCUUGAGGUGGGGGACAACCAUUGGAAACGAUGGCUAAUACCGCAUGAUGUCUACGGACCAAAGGGGGCUUCGGCUCUCGCCUUUAGAUUGGCCCAAGUGGGAUUAGCUAGUUGGUGAGGUAAUGGCUCACCAAGGCGACGAUCCCUAGCUGGUUUGAGAGGAUGAUCAGCCACACUGGAACUGAGACACGGUCCAGACUCCUACGGGAGGCAGCAGUGGGGAAUAUUGCACAAUGGGCGCAAGCCUGAUGCAGCCAUGCCGCGUGUGUGAAGAAGGCCUUCGGGUUGUAAAGCACUUUCAGUCAGGAGGAAAGGUUAGUAGUUAAUACCUGCUAGCUGUGACGUUACUGACAGAAGAAGCACCGGCUAACUCCGUGCCAGCAGCCGCGGUAAUAC
rnacentral:rRNA from 2 species